GCGAUAUAAAGGAAACACCGGCGUCAAGACGCGCACGACGACUCUUUUCGUCCGCCGGCCACCGCAGUCAGUGGCAUCGCCUUCUUUCUUUCCUGAAGACUGAAGUCCUGGCAGAUCCUGACCGAAAAAACCAUGCUCAACCACCCCACUGCCGCCCCAGUUUCCCCCACCCCUGCAGCGCCGCCGAUCUUGCUGGUAUGGACGCAGGCAGCCCGAAUCAAUCUGACUGAUCUCGCCUAUAUGCGUGCAGCGGGUGUUCCAUGGGUCGGGCGAGCGAUGAAGAGUGGCCCGCAUUCAGAUGAUGAUGGGCUCAAGGUGGAACCCAAUUUGAAGUUUCUACCUGGGUCUCUUGUAUCAUGUGGCCGUGAAGAUCCUGAUCCAUGUCAAAUUCAGCCCGAUGUUGUAUAUGGUUGAUUGUUCGUGCAGACUCAGAGUGCAAGGGAGGUCAAACUGUCAAAGCUAAGGGCUAUCAUAUCUUCAUCAUUAAGAACAGAAGACCUGAAAGAUGGGAAACUCACACUCUUUGAACUUGGCAUCUUUGCUGUUACUCUUCCAGCCGGAAGUUGGGAAAUGCAAGUCAUGCCUUCUCCAUUCUUCCGUAUUUUGUGCAUGUACCGGUACACACUUCGCUAGGAGAAACAAACUGUACGACUACUUAAAAGAUUGGAGAAUUUAAAGAAGUGCAUAUAACUGAAUCAUACAACCGCUCUCAAAGUCAUCUACAUAACAAGACAAAGGAACCACCCUGGCUAUGUGGUACCGACAUUGUGAUCCUAUCUUUUCAUCCUUUUGACUUAUCAGGAGCCAAGAUACAGGGAGCAGGAGUUCAAUCUCCAUGCUUUUGAGUGAUUUUGUACCUGUGAGAGCUGAGCGAUCUGUUAACAGAACCAUGUUGGAACUACUUCAUGGUCAAUCUUGGGAUGGAUUGCCUGCCAACCGAUGGAGGUUACGGUAUUAUUA